AUUGAACGCUGGCGGCAGGCUUAACACAUGCAAGUCGAACGAGUGGCGGACGGGUGAGUAAUGCUUGGGAAUCUAGCUUAUGGAGGGGGAUAACUACGGGAAACUGUAGCUAAUACCGCGUAACAUAGGAUGAGCCCAAGUGGGAUUAGGUAGUUGGUGAGGUAAAGGCUCACCAAGCCGACGAUCUCUAGCUGGUCUGAGAGGAUGACGAGCAACACUGGGACUGAGAGAGGGCCAUGAAUCCUACGGGAGGCAGCAGUGGGGAAUAUUGCGCAAUGGGGGAAACCGGACGCAACCAUGCCGCGUGAAUGAAGAAGGCCUUCGGGUUGUAAAGUUCUUUCGGUAGCGAGGCGUUAACUACAGAAGAAGCACCGGCUAACUCCGUGCCAGCCGCCGCGGUAAUAC
rnacentral:rRNA from 1 species